rnacentral:rRNA from 1 species
GACAGCAGCAGCCGCGGGAAUACAGAGGGUGCGAGCGUUAAUCGGAUUUACUGGGCGUAAAGCGUGCGUAGGCGGCUUUUUAAGUCGGAUGUGAAAUCCCUGAGCUUAACUUAGGAAUUGCAUUCGAUACUGGGAAGCUAGAGUAUGGGAGAGGAUGGUAGAAUUCCAGGUGUAGCGGUGAAAUGCGUAGAGAUCUGGAGGAAUACCGAUGGCGAAGGCAGCCAUCUGGCCUAAUACUGACGCUGAGGUACGAAAGCAUGGGGAGCAAACAGGAUUAGAUACCCCAGUAGUCCCUGUCUCUUAUAU